rnacentral:rRNA from 1 species
AUUGAACGCUGGCGGCAUGCCUUACACAUGCAAGUCGAACGGCAGCGGGCCUUCGGGUGCCGGCGAGUGGCGAACGGGUGAGUAAUGCAUCGGAACGUGCCAUUGAGUGGGGGAUAACGUAGCGAAAGUUACGCUAAUACCGCAUAUUCUGUGAGCAGGAAAGCAGGGGACCGCAAGGCCUUGCGCUCUUUGAGCGGCCGAUGUCAGAUUAGCUAGUUGGUGAGGUAAAGGCUUACCAAGGCGACGAUCUGUAGCGGGUCUGAGAGGAUGAUCCGCCACACUGGAACUGAGACACGGUCCAGACUCCUACGGGAGGCAGCAGUGGGGAAUUUUGGACAAUGGGCGCAAGCCUGAUCCAGCCAUGCCGCGUGAGUGAA